rnacentral:lncRNA from 10 species
GCGGCUGGAACUUGGCCUGGAACGCGGUCUUCUCGGCUCCAGUUUCCCGCCCAGGCCCCGCCCACCCGGCCGCCCCGCUGGUUCGCACCGCUGCUCCGGCCACCGAGGAGCCCAAAGUUGGCGGCGUCCCGCGGACUCCGGCGGAGAGCGCGAGGGAGUCGCGGCCGACUCCUGUACCACGAAGACAACUGGAGGCCGGCGGGGGAGGCGGGCCACGAGGGGCUGGGGCGAGGGAGCUGGGAUGCGCGGGCCCGGCUCGCCGGGAAACAGGUUGCCGCGGAGUCCCGUCCCCUCCCCCUCUGCGGUCCCCGCCGCGACCUGAUUCCCGCCCUGCCCGGGGAGCUAACCCAGCCGCCUCCGGGGCGCCCUCCUUCUUCCUGGAUUCCCACGGCUGGACCAGAGCCCCUCUGGCAGCCGGGUUAAAGGCUCCUUCAGCAAGGUCAAGGCGCGGCCGGCUGGCACCUGGGGAUUUUUUUCCAGCCGAGCACUGGCUUUUCAAUCGCAUUGUUAAGGAUCAUGGCAGCGGCAGGAAAUCCGAAGGGCCCCACAGCCCAUCAACGUGAUACACAGGCUGCGGCGCUGGAGGGAAGCGGCGAAACGGGGAGAAUAAACGCAACAGAAGCAAACUGCUGUCUGCAGAGGCGAGAGGCGAAGGAACGGAAGCCAUACCCGACCCCAGCCCCAUCCCGUCCCCAUCAGCGCCGGGCUAGCGCAGGAAACCAGGAAUAGGUGUAGGCCUUCCAACACCUCCGAGGGAAGACUUGGAGCUCUGAAGACCCAAUGAAACCUCAGUUCUGACUGACUCCUCCUCUGCGAUCAAUUCCGGAUGCCCCCACUUAGUCCCUGCCUCGGUAACCGGUUCUUUGGGGACAGCAGCAUCAGCACCCGACGCCCAUCGCACAAGUGGGCGCCGUGGUGCGAGGCGUAUCCUAGCUACCCAGGCCGGGGUGGGGGCGCCCCGGUACUUACACUCCCCAAGCAGGCAAACUUUCAGGCUUGUCUUUCGAGAACCGGGAGCUCGCAUCACAGUUCCGGGUAAUCACCGAGGCAGCUUAUGUAAUUGCCCGCGAUGCCGCUCAGCAGAUCUCUCUCCUUACUCGGCCUCAGAGCUCAGUACAUGGGCACCCUCUUCCCCCCACCCCCCACCCCGGCGAUUGGAAUCCCGAGCUUGCCCCACCACCGCCUUCUACAAAGCAGCGGGGUGAUCUCGUGUGCUACAAACACCAAGCCAGUAUGCAGGUUCAGGCAAAACUCUGGCUGCCUCCCUGCGCCCCUUUCACUGCGUCGAUGGUUUACAGAUAACUGCAUUUCUAUAAACCCUCUCUCCACGGUUAGGGGGUGGGAGGGAGUUAGAGAUCGGGUGGGGGCUUGGCGCGGUACUGUUGAGGGCUCUGCACCCAACUGAGCAGUAAUACACUCAUCCACAUGGACGCGGGUGCAUAAAUCGCCUUAACAUUUUGCCCUGAAAGCGGAGCCAAUUUCCAAAGUUAAGGACCACGCAGCUGAAUUUCCAGUACUUUCCAACCUCGCCUAGGCGGGGGCAGGCAGAGAAGGGGCGGGCAGCGGGCAGCUAACUCGCCCGACCCCCCCGCCAAGAAGGACUCACUAGGUGAACCCCCCGCCCUUCACCCAAGUAGUUGGUUGUGUAUUCCUCGGUUGCGUGUGUGUGUCCACACACACACACACACACACACACACACGCCGCCCCACUACCUUCCAGUCUGCUCCUCCAAUGUAACGACCGCAUUUAAAAAUGGCAAUUAAAAUGACUGAGGAGCUCGGUGAUCACAUUUCAACCCAGAGCACAUUUCCCGAAGCUGGGGGUGAGAGUAGUCAUACAGUCACACUCACACCCGGGAGCCCUCCAAGCGUCCAUCUGGCGGCUGCAGCCUCAGUUGGCUCCUAGACGAACAUCAAUACCGCGGCCGGGCGCCCGGUGAGGAGAGGCGGGCGCCCCGCGGGUUGCAGAGGGCGAGGAGCUGGGGUCGCAUCUCCAGGAUCUGAGCUCCAACCACCGCCCGUGCGGGGCUGCUGCAGCCGGCACUUGCCCCGCAGGGCAGG